rnacentral:rRNA from 1 species
AUUGAACGCUGGCGGCAGGCCUAACACAUGCAAGUCGAACGCGUGGCGCACGGGUGAGUAAUGUGUGGGAAACUGCGCGUUGUAGGGGGAUAACUACAGGAAACGGUAGCUCAUACCGCAUACCAUCGGAUGUGCGCAGAUGGGAUUAGCUUGUGGGUGGGGGAACGGCUCACCUAGGCGACGAUCCCUAGCUGGUCUGAGAGGAUGACCAGCCACACUGGAACUGAGACACGGUCCAGACUCCUACGGGAGGCAGCAGUGGGGAAUAUUGCACAAUGGGCGCAAGCCUGAUGCAGCCAUGCCGCGUGUAUGAAGAAGGCCUUCGGGUUGUAAAGUACUUUCAGCGGGGAGGCGUUACCCGCAGAAGAAGCACCGGCUAACUCCGUGCCAGCCGCCGCGGUAAUAC